AGCAGCCGCGGUAAUUCCAGCUCCAAUAGCGUAUAUUAAAGUUGUUGCAGUUAAAAAGCUCGUAGUUGAAUUUCGAGAUCAAUUUGUGGGUCGUGCCUCGGUACGUACUGGCAUUAUCGAUUUCUCCCUUCUGAAGAACCGCGAUGUCAUUAAUUUGGUGUCGUGGGGAAUCAGGACUGUUACUUUGAAAAAUUAGAGUGUUUAAAGCAGGCUUACGCUUGAAUACAUUAGCAUGGAAUAAUGAAAUAGGACGUUUGAUUCUAUUUUGUUGGUUUCUAGGAUCGACGUAAUGAUUAAUAGGGAUAGUUGGGGGCAUUAGUAUUCAAUUGUCAGAGGUGAAAUUCUUGGAUUUAUUGAAGACUAACUACUGCGAAAGCAUUUGCCAAGGAUGUUUUCAUUAAUCAAGAACGAAAGUUAGGGGAUCGAAGACGAUCAGAUACCG
rnacentral:rRNA from 1 species